CUGAAAUGUCAUAGGAGGCAGAGGAUACCUUCAUUGGACCCCAUUUUGGUGGUGGCUGCCAACACCAGAGCCUGCUGCGAAUAGAUGCCUCAUGGCUUUAUACACCCGAACUGAAAACACCAUCCACAGUGAUUCGACCUUGUGGCCCACACAAUUCUCUAAGAUCCUCUUUUGACUUUAGUAGAUAAAGGAAACAGAACAGCUGAGAACUUUUAACUUCCAGGGUCUGGAGAUGGACGAGGGAUUGUUUGCUGCUUACAUAACAUUGAUUGAAAUUGUUUAUAUAUUUUGGAUGCUAAUAAAUUGUCUUUAACCCCUCA
rnacentral:lncRNA from 12 species